rnacentral:rRNA from 1 species
UACGUAGGCGGCAAGCGUUAUCCGGAUUUAUUGGGCGUAAAGGGAACGCAGGCGGUCUUUUAAGUCUGAUGUGAAAGCCUUCGGCUUAACCGGAGUAGCGCAUUGGAAACUGGGAGACUUGAGUGCAGAAGAGGAGAGUGGAACUCCAUGUGUAGCGGUGAAAUGCGUAGAUAUAUGGAAGAACACCAGUGGCGAAAGCGGCUCUCUGGUCUGUAACUGACGCUGAGGUUCGAAAGCGUGGGUAGCAAACAGG